rnacentral:tRNA from 1 species
GGGGCCGUAGCUUAGCAUGGUUGGAGCACCCGGCUGAUAGAAGCCCCUUUAAAAAAGCGGCUUUACCCGUAAAAGGGGGCUUUCAGAUACCGGGAGGUCGCCGGUUCAAAUCCGGUCGGCCCCA